rnacentral:lncRNA from 1 species
UCAUCAUUUUUCAAAUUGCGUAGCGCUAUUCUUUCGCCCUUAGUAAGAUUGUUUUUUACAUUUCUUUCUAUUGGUAGAAAAGACAAUUCAAGCUUGGUUAAAUCUAUAUAAUUUUCCAACGUAUGGCACGUAGAGGCAGGUUUAUAUCCUGUAUUGCUACGAAAUGGAUGAAGGUCAGUUUUUUCUUGACUGAACAUAUACCGACAUCGUAAUUUUCUAGCAAAUUCAUUGUAGUCUUUUAGUAUAGACAUUUUUGCAUUUUUGCUUGAUGGCG